rnacentral:rRNA from 1 species
UACGAAGGGGGCUAGCGUUGUUCGGAAUUACUGGGCGUAAAGCGCGCGCAGGCGGUCUUCCAAGUCAGUGGUGAAAGCCUGGAGCUCAACUCCAGAACUGCCAUUGAAACUGUUGGACUUGAGUACGAGAGAGGUGAGUGGAAUUCCCAGUGUAGAGGUGAAAUUCGUAGAUAUUGGGAAGAACACCAGUGGCGAAGGCGGCUCACUGGCUCGUAACUGACGCUCAGGCGCGACAGCGUGGGGAGCAAACAGG